rnacentral:rRNA from 1 species
CAGUUCGGAUUGUAGGCUGAAACUCGCCUACAUGAAGCUGGAGUUACUAGUAAUCGCAGAUCAGAAUGCUGCGGUGAAUGCGUUCCCGGGUCUUGUACACACCGCCCGUCACACCACGGAAGUUGGGGGCGCCCGAAGCCACUUAGCUAACCCUUUUGGGAAGCGAGUGUCGAAGGUGAAAUCAAUAACUGGGGUGAAGUCGUAACAAGGUAAC